rnacentral:rRNA from 1 species
UACGGAAGGGGCAAGCGUUGUUCGGAAUCAUUGGGCGUAAAGGGCGCGUAGGUGGUUCUGUAUGUCUACCGUGAAAGCGUACGGCUCAACUGUAUUUUGUCGGUGGAAACUGCAGGACUUGAGGCUGGGAGGGCUGGUGGAAUUCCCUGUGUAGCGGUGAAAUGCGCAGAUAUCGGGAAGAACACCCGUGGCGAAGGCGGCUGCUCGUGGGACGGUACUGACGCUGAGACGCGAAAGCGUGGGAGCGAACGAG